rnacentral:rRNA from 1 species
AGGAUAAACGCUGGCGGCGUGCCUAACACAUGCAAGUCGAACGCGCUUUCGGGCUUCGGUGCGAGAGCGAGUGGCGGACGGGUGAGUAACACAUGGGUACCUGCCUUUCAGUGAGGGAUACCGGCGAGAAAUCGCCGACAAUACCGCAUGGGCUUGUGGGAACACAAGCAAAGUGGCGCAAGCCACGCUGGAAGAUGGGCCUGUGGCCGAUUAGCUAGUUGGGGGGGUAAUGGCCUCCCAAGGCGACGAUCGGUAGCUGGUCUGAGAGGACGAUCAGCCACACUGGGAUUGAGAACGGCCCAGACUCCUACGGGGGCAGCAGUGAGGAAUUUUCCGCAAUGGACGAAAGUCUGACGGAGCAACGCCGCGUGCAGGAGGAAGGUUUCGGAUCGUAAACUGCUUUUCGUCGGGUACGAGCAAGGACGGUACCCGAGGAAGAAGCCCGGCUAACUACGCGCCAGCAGCCGC